CUUGUGUUCAUGUUACUAUUGACACAUACUCUAAAUUUUUGUGGGCUACGGCUCAAAUUGGAGAAACCACCCGUCAUGUUAUUCAACACUUAGUAGAAACAUUUGCUAUUAUGGGAAUUCCCGCUAUGAUUAAAACUGAUAAUGGUCCAGCUUAUACUGGUAAAAAUUUUAAAGAUUUUUGCAAAUUAUAUGAUAUUGUUCAUCUAACUGGAAUAGAAUAUAAUCCACAAGGACAAGCUUUAGUAGAACGUGUACAUGCUACGCUUAAAACACAAAUUAAAAAAUUAAAAAGGAGUAAAAUGACAGAUUUAAAUAUGCACUUCUUUAGACAUUUACAAAAUCAACCUAAAGCAUUGUUACAUCAAGCCUUAUUUAUUUUAAAUUUUCUUAAUCUUCCACAAGGAGAAAUAUUGACAAGAGCAGAACGACAUUUUGAGCAAAAAACUUUAGAAACAGUUCAUGAACCAAUUUGGAUAAAAAUUGCGGCAGAUGCUGAAUGGCAGCCAGGGAUUUUACUUUAGAGAGGAAAGGGCUAUGCUUAUGUUUUAACAGAAAAUAGACACCGGCAGUGGCUCCCAGCGUGGUGGAUCCAGACCCGUCACAAUCAGAACGGCACCAAGGGGGGCACCCUAUCCAUUACCCCAGCAGAGGAAUCAAGAUCCUAAGCUUGAUGUUCCGGUGGCAGCAAUGGCACGUCUUCAUCUUGGGGCCCGAUGUCGUCGACAUCCUAAUUUUUCUCCCUUACCUACGUGGGGUCAAAUUAAAAAGCUGAGUGGGGAAGGGCAGAAGGUACUACAACGAACAGGGAAGAAUUGCACCCCAGAAAAUUUAUUUCUGGCUAUGUGUGCAUUAUUGACAGUGUCUUCCGCUUGUGAGGUACAAAAUAAUAACACUCACUAUUGGGUCUAUAUUCCCAAUCCACCUUUGCUGGAACCUGUUACUCGGGGUGACACGGAUAUUACCUUAUAUACUUCUCCUGCUCUUUUCUCUCCCCCUUGGAACAAUUUAACAUAUCUGAAUAUUUAUGAUGGAACAUUAUUUAAUUUUACUUAUAAGAAUAAUAACAAUAAACCUAUAUGCUUGGGUGUUCCUCCUUGCUUGCAAUUAGAUUGGCAACAUUGGAUACUAGUUGGAAAUUGGAGUAAUAGUUCUCGAACACGUUUACAACGGUUGUCUGCAUGGUCCGUCAAUAUGACCUGGGAUAAUAUAACUGAACAAAAAUACCCUAUGUUCCCCGAGUGCCCCAAUUUUACUUAUCAGGACUUGAGAUACUCCCCUUUCAUAUGGCAGGAAUGUUUAGACAAAUUUGGAAAGAUAUUUCAGAAUAUUAUCAUGUGGGGUCCUUACGGGAUGUUUUUAAAAAAUUGUUCAGAAUGGAAUAUUACUGCUUGUGAUUUAUCUUCUACAUACAGAAUCCCGCCGAAAGAGAGAUGGAAUGAAACCAUUCGGAN
rnacentral:lncRNA from 1 species